UCUCUAUAGCGUAAAAGUUAACUCAAAUUUGUAUGGAGUUGGACUGUUUGCGUACGUUUGCCGCUAGGGGCGCUGUUCCAACUGCAUAAAAAUUUAAGUUAACUUUUACUCAAUCGA
rnacentral:pre_miRNA from 9 species